rnacentral:rRNA from 1 species
CCUACGGGAGGCAGCAGUGGGGAAUUUUGGACAAUGGGGGCAACCCUGAUCCAGCCAUUCCGCGUGAGUGAAGAAGGCCUUCGGGUUGUAAAGCUCUUUCGGACGGGAAGAAAUCGCUCAGGCCAAUACCCUGAGUGGAUGACGGUACCGUAAGAAGAAGCACCGGCUAACUACGUGCCAGCAGCCGCGGUAAU